rnacentral:rRNA from 1 species
CUGCCAGAAUUCAUAUGCUUGUCCCGAAGAAAUAAGCCAUGCAUGCCCAUGACAAAAUAGGACCUUUCGGGCCGCAAUUCAUCGGGGCCGCUGGCGCGGGUUUGGCCAGGGCAAAACUCAAAUGAAUCGGCCCGGAGGCCGAUGAAUCAGCGAACGGCUCCGCAUAUCUGUUGUCACCUAUCGUGGUAAGUAAGGCGUGGAUAUAGCACGGAAAAGCUGUGUGUAACACAGUUGAACCGGGGCACACCCUCGGCCGAGUGUCGCUCGGUCUGUAUGGGAUAAUCGGGCCCGACCGCCAGUUGGCCGGACAGGUCGGCCCAGCCUCGCUAAUCCUCCUACAGUACGAUGACCCGGACACCCAGCCCCCGGGGACGGGGGCGGACCGGCUACUUUCGAAACGGAGGCCUCUUCGUGGGGAGUAACCCGACCAGACUGUGAUUUCGACCCGAAUAGGGUGAUUGAGGCCUGGAUCUUGCCUCCCCAAUAAUGAAGAGACUAACCACGAGCGCACGAUGGGCUUCAGACCUAUCAGCUUGAUGGUAGGGUAUUGGCCUACCAUGGCAAUGACGGGUACAGAGGAUUAGGGUUUGAUCCUGGAGAGGUAGCCUGAGAGAUCGCUCCCACUUCUAAGGAAGGCAGCAGGCGCGUAACGUUCCCAAUGCUCAGUGAGUGAGGACGUAAUGGGACAUAACAAUACCUCUUACUAGGUAAGUGGGUAAUGAUAAUGGGGUGCUAA